UACAAUCGUCACUUCACACAAUACAUAAAUAAAUCAUACAUCAAACAGAGAACACACAUAGACCGACUACGGUCAAAUCCAAAAGAAAAGAAGACAACCCAACUCCUAGAUCCCCGAUCGCCCCAACUGGGCACCACUGCUGAUCAACAAGAAAAGAAACAACACAACAAACAAGAUCUUCAUUGAGCUCCCACUUGAGCUCGAUUGCGUCACCUGCGCUGGUAUCAUCGGCACCUGCAACUGUUUUGGAAGUAUUUGUGAGUCACGAGGACUCAGAAAUCUCACACCCGCGAGAUCAAGACUAUUUAAGCUUAUAGGAAGGAAAGGGUAGUGAGGUGGAGCUGCAGCAAGCACUAAGCAUAUAUGGUGGCUAACAUACGCAAAUGAGAGCGAGAAGAGAAGCAACAGAACGGUCGUGAACUAGCAAUGAUUAAGAAGUGAUCCUGAACUCCUACUUACAUCAAACAUAACCCAGAAACCGUGUUCACUUACCGGACUCCGCCGAGAAGAGACAAUCACGGCUACACACGCGGUUGAUGUGUUUUAAUUAAGUCAAGUGUCAAGUUCUCUACAACCGGAUAUUAACAAAUUCCCAUCUGCCACAUAACCGCGGGCACGGCUCUCGAAAGUUUAUACCCUGCAGGGGUGUCCCAACUUAGCCCAUCAUAAGCUCUCACGGUCAACGAAGGAUAAACCUUCUCCCGGGAAGACCCGAUCAGUCUCGGAAUCCCGGUUACAAAACAUUUCGACAAUGGUAAAACAAAACCAGCAAAGCCGCCCGAUGUGUCGACAAUCCCGAUAGGAGUCUCACGUAUCUCGUUCUCAGGACACACCGGAUAAGCGAAGCGUACAGGUACCGACGUAACCCAAGUUGCCAAGGGAUGGUCCCGCACGGUGCUCUAGUUUGGACCAACACUUAGACAAGCACUGGCCCGGGGGUAAAAUAAAGAUGACCCUCGGGAUGCGCGACUCCCAAGGGAAAAAGGCUAGGUGAGGCAAAUGUAAAACCAAGGUUGGGCCUUGCUGGAAGAGUUUUAUUCAAAGCGAACUGUCAAGGGGGUCCCAUAAAUCACCCAACCGCGUUAGGAACGCAAAAUCAAGGAACAUAACACCGGUAUGACGGAAACUAGGGCGGCAAGAGUGGAACAAAACACCAGGCAUAAGGCCGAGCCUUCCACCCUUUACCAAGUAUAUAGAUGCAUUAAUUAAAUAAGAGAUAUUGUGAUAUCCCAACACAAACAUAAUCAGACAUGGAGCAAUCUUCAUCUUCACCUGCAGCUAGCAACGCUAUAAGAGGGGCUGAGCAAAGCGGUAACUUAGCCAAACAACGGUUUGCUAGGAAGGUUGACAAAGGUUAGAGGUUCAUGGCAAUAUGGGAGGCAUGAAAUAGCAAGUGGUAGGUAGCGCUGCAUAGCAAUAGAGCGAACAACUAGCAAGCAAAGAUAGAAGUGAUUUCGAGGGUAUGGUCAUCUUGCCUGAGAUCCCGCAAAGAAGAAGAACGAGUCAAUGAAGAAGACAAACGGAUGUAGUCGAACGAAUCCUCACAACUCCGGAACGAAACCUAAGCUAACGAGAGAAGCAACCCGGAAAGAAACAAACAACAUAGUAAACACACAAUCAUAAACAUGGCAUGAUGCACAAUCAAGUAUGAUGCAUGUCCGGUUUAAAGAGGCAUGGCAUGGCAAAGUGCACAAACAAAACUACAAGUUAAGUGGAGCUCAAUAUGCAACGAGUUGCCUAUUGACGAAACACCACAACAAUUGUUUAGUUCUCUCGGUUAUAUACCCAACAAUAUUAAAUGUUGAUUAACAUGGCAAGAGGUGAAGCAUAAGUAAACUAACUAUCUAGGCAAUUUAAAUGAGGCCGGAACAACAAACAAUAAUUCCGGAAAAUCCUCAUGUUAUUUAGCAAUUUUAAUGCAAACAUCAAUUGUAAACAUUUAAAUGUUGUUAUUAUGAUGCGAAUGACAUAUGCAAGUUUUUAAGCAAUUUUAUAAAACGUGGACAAGAGCAUGUUAUGAAGCAUUUGUUACCGUGGUGGAACGAGAAAGGGUGCCACGGCAACGAUAACGAAAAUGAUGCCACGCUAACAUAUCGGUUCCGAUAGCUCAUGGAGAUACCGGCGCAAAAGAGAAUUGUGCAGAUGUGUGGAACACGCAAUAGAUGGUGGGGUGCUCCCGGUAACCGGGUUCCCACGGUUCGACGGCAUGGCAAGAAAAUGAGUGGCAGCAUGCGACGAACAAGUCGGGCACGGUGCAAACGCAAGCAACUCAAACAACACAUGCUUUCGUUCCACGGACGUCGUCUCAGGUUAUACCUUCGAGGCGUGACUUUUCGGAACGGAUCAAGUUCGUAGAGGAAGUAGUUGUACACGGCGACAGUAUUAGAAGUAGUGGUUCACAUCUCACAAUCGUGCAAACUCCGUAGAUGUUCGGGGUCGUCGGUAGAGGUACUUGACGCAAUCCAUGCAAACGGUGCUUGUUCGGGCAUCGGUCUUGACGAAGGUGUACUUGGCCAACGUAGUGGUACUCGACGUCUUGUCGAAGCCAAGCGACGGUAGUCGUACACGACGCGUUGUGGAAGUAGUUGAACUCGCGGUCUUCGCGGCGACGGUAGUCGUACACGUAUUGACGAG
rnacentral:lncRNA from 1 species